rnacentral:rRNA from 1 species
UGGGGAAUAUUGGACAAUGGGCGAAAGCCUGAUCCAGCAAUGCCGCGUGAGUGAUGAAGGCCCUAGGGUUGUAAAGCUCUUUUACCCGGGAUGAUAAUGACAGUACCGGGAGAAUAAGCCCCGGCUAACUCCGUGCCAGCAGCCGCGGUAAUACGGAGGGGGCUAGCGUUGUUCGGAAUUACUGGGCGUAAAGCGCACGUAGGCGGCUUUGCAAGUCAGAGGUGAAAGCCCGGGGCUCAACCCCGGAAUUGCCUUUGAGACUGCAUCGCUAGAACGUCGGAGAGGUAAGUGGAAUUCCGAGUGUAGAGGUGAAAUUCGUAGAUAUUCGGAAGAACACCAGUGGCGAAGGCGACUUACUGGACGACUGUUGACGCUGAGGUGCGAAAGCGUGGGGAGCAAA